rnacentral:rRNA from 1 species
AUGUUGGGUUAAGUCCCGCAACGAGCGCAACCCUUGUCCUGUGUUGCCAUCCCGCAAGGGGGGACUCGCAGGGAUGAGAU